UUCUUCUUCCACCAAAACAGCGACCAAACCCAGAACCUCAAAUCGCGACCCAAAGCCAUCGCGAAAUCCAGUGACCCGAGUCCAGCACGCGCGUCUGUCUCCCUCUCUCCCUUAUCCUCUCCGUACGGGAAUAAUCCAGGUGUCCCAUCUCCUUGAGUCUUUAUCCUUCACCAAUGAAUCAGACGACUCUCUCUUUUUUUUUGUUAGAAAUUAGUACAAUUACAGCUUUCAACCUUAUCCUGAAAGGAAUUCGAAUUUUGAAUUUUGAAUUCACCCAAAAUUCCUCACUCGUUUUCCCUCCAUUUCAGCUCUUUUCUCCUCUAUAAAAGCCAAUUUAUUCUUCAUUACGGGAGCGGGCAAAAUAUUUUAUAACGUAGGGGAGAACAGUGAGAAACAAAUAUAAGAAAGGAGUCGAAAUUUACAAAGUAUAGACAGCUUAUAUUAGAGCUAGAUGAUAAGGAAAUAAAAUGGAUAUACGCAAAGCGUUUUGAGAUAGGUUGUGAGAUUAGGAGUACUUGGAGCCAUACUUCCUCGAUUUUACCUCUUGCGAGUCUGUUGUAGUCUAUUUGUGGUCGUGGAAAGCUCUUUAGCUCUUUUUGUCUCAGUUCGCUGCCACAAAUAAGUCUUCACGGACUCUAUCUUUGCAUUUCAAAGGGGGCCACGAAGCCCCCCAAAAAUCCUUUUUCGAGUCGGCCAGCAUGAAAAAUCAAAGAUCAGGUCCUUGACAUUGACGUACAGGUGUUCGGAGCGAAUCAAAGUGUUGGAUACACACAACAUACAUCGAUAUACAUCAGUCGUAUACGCUAUAUAUUGCAUUGAAAAUGGGCUAAAAGUGCCCUAAAUUGUCAGCUUUGUAUUUUGUUACUUUUGGGCCUAAGCUCUUCAUUUGCAAUUAUUAUUAUCACUUGUUAGUUCUUAGGACAGGUGGAAGAUGGGCCUAAGACCCAAAGAAAUCAAUUUCAAGAUUAGUCUAGGACAUGUACUAAUUAUUGCGCCUUUGGAUCCAAAAUUGAAGGCCCAAGUAUUGACCCAAGCGGACAGAACCAGACUUGGGCCCAAAUAUUUCUUCUCUUUAUUUGCUUACCUAUUUGUUAUGGUGUCUUAUUUGUUCAAUUAAUUUUAAGAUUUUUCACCAA